GACGAACGCUGGCGGCGUGCUUAACACAUGCAAGUCGAACGCUGAAGCUUGGUGCUUGCACUGGGUGGAUGAGUGGCGAACGGGUGAGUAAUACGUGAGUAACCUGCCCUUGACUCUGGGAUAAGCCUGGGAAACUGGGUCUAAUACUGGAUAUGACAUGUCACCGCAUGGUGGCGUGUGGAAAGGGUUUUACUGGUUUUGGAUGGGCUCACGGCCUAUCAGCUUGUUGGUGGGGUAAUGGCUCACCAAGGCGACGACGGGUAGCCGGCCUGAGAGGGUGACCGGCCACACUGGGACUGAGACACGGCCCAGACUCCUACGGGAGGCAGCAGUGGGGAAUAUUGCACAAUGGGCGAAAGCCUGAUGCAGCGACGCCGCGUGAGGGAUGACGGCCUUCGGGUUGUAAACCUCUUUCAGCACGGAAGAAGCGAAAGUGACGGUACGUGCAGAAGAAGCGCCGGCUAACUACGUG
rnacentral:rRNA from 1 species